rnacentral:rRNA from 1 species
AUUGAACGCUGGCGGUAGGCCUAACACAUGCAAGUCGAACGGCAGCACAGUAAUAGCUUGCUCUUACGGGUGGCGAGUGGCGGACGGUUGAUGAAUACAUCGGAAUCUACUUUUUCUUGGGUGAUAACGUAGGGAAACUUACGCUAAUACCGCAUACGACCUACGGGUGAAAUCAUGGGAUCUUCGGACCUUGCCCGAUUCUAUGAGCCGAUGUCGGAUUAGCUAGGUGGCGGGGUAAAGGCCCACCAAGGCGACGAUCCGUAGCUGGUCUGAGAGGAUGAUCAGCCACACUGGAACUGAGACACGGUCCAGACUCCUACGGGAGGCGGCAGUGGGGAAUAUUGGACAAUGGGCGAAAGCCUGAUCCAGCCAUGCCGCGUGGGUGAAGAAGGCCUUCGGGUUGUAAAGCACUUUUGUUGGGAAAGAAAAGCAGCAGGUUAAUACCCCGCUGUUCUGACGGUACCAAAAGAAUAAGCACCGGCUAACUUCGUG